AAGUCGAUCCUCAGGAUCCCGGACGAGACGCGCCGUACCCGGCAAGGACGACGACGCAGG
rnacentral:ncRNA from 1 species